CCGGACAGCGCUGGCCCCCGGCCUCUUAAGUGAGAUGGGCGCACAACCCUAGAGUCGGACACGACUGGCCCGUACGGGCAAGGGUACCUUUACUCUUCAGCUGAUCUCUCUCUUCUUACACUGUGCACUUUACCCUUCGCAGAGAAGCAAAUGGGAUUUAAAGCCUACUGCUAAGUCAUGCUCAUUCAUUUACCAUGUGGUAGAACAGACUUCUAAAAUCCGUAAUGUGUCUUGACUGUUCAAGAAAUACGUAGCAGUCCCAUCCAUGAGUUAACGGAUACAAGUUAUAGAAAAAGGAAAAGGAAAAAGAAGAUAACAGAAGAAAAAAGAAACCAUCUUUCCAAGACACUUUUCUCAUAACCAACUGGACUUCCCCACAUCUCCCUCACCCUGCAUUCUUUACAAUAAAAAUAUCAGCAAAUUAU